rnacentral:lncRNA from 1 species
ACACAGGCUGCCUCCCCAUAAGGUGGGGUUUGCAAGGUUCCACCCUUUUCGGAAGAGAGCUCCCUCCUAGCUGCCUGAGGAUGCCAGUCUCUCCUGGUUGCCUUUGAAUCAAGAUGCAGAACUUUCAACUCUUCCAGCCCCAAGUCUGCCUGGAUGCUGCCAUGCUUCAGGCUAUGAUGAUAAUGGACUGAACCUCUGAACCUGUAAGCCAGCCCCGAUUAAAUGCUGUCCUUAUAAGAGCUGCCUUGGUCAGGCAUGGUAUCUCUUCACAGCAAUGGGAACCCUAAGACAAGGAGAUUUGUUGGGCAAAAUAGAUAUGGUUAUAGCAGAAAACAUGUCUCUUGAACAGGCUUCUGCUGACUCAGAGUCUAUAGUGGAAUGAGAAAAUGCUAUGCAAACCACCACCAUUAAACAAUAGGAUGGAGUUCAUUUUACAGUCGUAUUAAGCAGUAAUUGCUAUUAAGUUAGCAGUAUCGGUGAGAUCAUCCUUCAUGAUCAAGCACACAGAGCAUGAAAACAGUGAGACUGAGGGCGGCAGAACUCUGUGACUCUCAGACAAGAACUGUGUUUACAUCUUUUUAAAUGCCACAUCCCUAUGAACUUUUUCUCCAAGACUCCACAACCUGCUGAGAGGCUGAACCUGUCUUCCUGAGGAGAUCCUGACUAACCAACAGCCUGGACAGAGUGAUGACAAUGCGACUAGAGCCUGGUGUAGUGGGGGAUGGGCUUUCCCCUAUUUAAGUUCAGACUCAAAAAGUAAACUUUGGCCCUUGAU